rnacentral:lncRNA from 1 species
UCUCAACGAAUUAAAGAAUAGAGUCGUACCUUUCAGUUUUCAAGAUGAAAGACAUGCGCAGAAGGGUUUAUCGAUUGCAACCCUUUUCAGUUGCUGUCUGACAAUGGUAUAAGACUCUUGUAUUGGAAUGAGCUGCUCUUAUUGUAACAAAAUAAUAGUUGAACUAAUUAGUGAUGUAUCAUACAUUCUAGUUUAUCGACUACGAUGUUAAUAAGAUGUUUUAUAAUACUGAAAAUGUGAUCUACAUCUUCUGAGAUAAAGUGCAAUGAAUUUUUAAUAUAUUGUCAUAACUUUUUUAAAGUGAAAAUAAACAAUAUUAGGAAAAGAGAAAAUAAUGUAAUUUGAAUACACAAAGUAAGCUUCAACAAUCUAACAAGUUGGUUUAAUUGAAAGUAAAACAGAUGGUUGUUUGGAAAAAUUAAACGAGGUGGUAUAUUCCCUACCACUUUUAUUUCUGAAGGACAUGCGCAGCAGGAUCCGUUAACUGCGACCCUUCCUCAGUUAUGUUUCGAACGUGGAAUGAAACAGGUGCAAUAUUUGAUAAGUAAACCAAUAGUGAGGUUUAAUCUAUUGUAGUGGAAACACUUUUCGGUAUAAAAAAAUUUUGAUUAGGUGUAAAUAUAGAUUGAUGUUCGCAAAGAUUAAAAUAAGGGUACCAUUUCUUCUAAAAUCUCAUUUUGAAAGACUUGCGGAGUUGUAUCUUUCAAUUUUAAUCAGUUUCUAAUCGACCACCGCAUAGAACACUUGUUGAAAAAAAAGUUGAAUGCUUUCGUGUAAAAGUUUCGUUAUAACAAUGUAUUAAAUGCAUACGACCAAAUCUGUAAUGCUGUUCUCCAUAUAUUGUUAACUUGUGAACAAGAAUUUUGUGUGCAAUUUAUAUAAACUUAGUUUUCCUUAUUUUCUUCAUUAGGAAAUGCUUAAUCAACAGCUUAAGAAAUUACUACUAGUGAGCUUUUAGAGUCCAAAUAGGAUUAUUAAAACAAAAAGAUAAUUGAAUAAAAUUUUAUUGGCAUUUAGGCAUUACUAUAUAGACAAUUGCUACAUGCAAGUAAUCUAUUUUUAAUACUACGAAUCUGUAGAAAAUUUUUUUACAUAAUCAAAUAUCUCAUUUUGUAAAAAAGUUUUAAUAAAACUCAGAGUUAGCGAACAUUAUAAUAUACCGUAGCUAAUGAGAAUGCUUUUUGCAUCAUCUAAAAGAAAAAAAGUUUUUUCGUUAAUACGAUUUACCGCAUAUAGUCGAUUAUAAAUGGCUCUUACUUUAGAAAACACUUCGUGCGAUUGUAUAAAUAAAUCCCCGAUCGAAAGAUGACAUGGUUUAAUGCAUCUUCUUAUCAUGAAAAUUAAUAACUUUUGAGUUUUUAUAGAAAGAGUGUAGAAUGGAACGUUACAUCUGAAAGCAAAUAAAUACUUCUUUAAUUUUCUAAAUAU